GAUGAACGCUGGCGGCGUGCCUAAUACAUGCAAGUCGAGCGAACGGACGAGACGCUUGCUUCUCUGAUGUUAGCGGCGGACGGGUGAGUAACACGUGGAUACCCUACCUAUAAGACUGGGAUAAGUUCGGGAAACCGGAGAUAAUACCUGAUGAUAUUUUGAACUGCAUGAUUCAAAAGUGAAAGAUGGUAUUGCUGACACUUAUCGAUGGAUCCCCGCGGCAUUAGCUAGUUGGUAAGGUAACGGCUUACCAAGGCAACGAUCCAUAGCCGACCUGAGAGGGUGACCGCCCACCCUGGAACUGAGACACGCUCCAGACUCCUACGGGAGGCACCAGUAGGGAUUCUUCCCCAAUGGGCGAAGUCCUGACGGGGCAACCCCGCGUGGUUGAGGAGGUUCUUCGGAUCUUAAAACUUUGUUAUUAGGAAAGAACAUAUGUGUAAGGAACUGUGCACAUCUUGACGGUACCUAAUCAGAAAGCCACGGCUAACUACGUG
rnacentral:rRNA from 1 species